AAACCCGCCUAUCUAGGUGGGC
rnacentral:snRNA from 1 species